rnacentral:rRNA from 1 species
UACGUAGGGACCAAGCGUUGUUCGGAUUUACUGGGCGUAAAGGGCGCGUAGGCGGCGUGACAAGUCACUUGUGAAAUCUCCGGGCUUAACCCGGAACUGCCAAGUGAUACUGUCGUGCUAGAGUGCGGAAGGGGCAAUCGGAAUUCUCGGUGUAGCGGUGAAAUGCGUAGAGAUCGGGAGGAACACCAGUGGCGAAGGCGGCUACCUGGACCAGCACUGACACUGAGGCACGAAAGCGUGGGGAGCAAACAGG